AUGGGCGCAAGCCUGAUGGAGCAACACCGCGUGAGUGAAGAAGGGUUUCGGCUCGUAAAACUCUGUUGUUGGAGAAGAACGUGCGUAAGAGUAACUGUUUACGCAGUGACGGUAUCCAACCAGAAAGUCACGGCUAACUACGUGCCAGCAGCCGCGGUAAUACGUAGGUGGCAAGCGUUAUCCGGAUUUAUUGGGCGUAAAGCGAGCGCAGGCGGUUGCUUAGGUCUGAUGUGAAAGCCUUCGGCUUAACCGAAGAAGUGCAUCGGAAACCGGGCGACUUGAGUGCAGAAGAGGACAGUGGAACUCCAUGUGUAGCGGUGGAAUGCGUAGAUAUAUGGAAGAACACCAGUGGCGAAGGCGGCUGUCUGGUCUGCAACUGACGCUGAGGCUCGAAAGCAUGGGUAGCGAACAGGAUUAGAUACCCUGGUAGUCCAUGCCGUAAACGAUGAGUGCUAGGUGUUGGAGGGUUUCCGCCCUUCAGUGCCGAAGCUAACGCAUUAAGCACUCCGCCUGGGGAGUACGACCGCAAGGUUGAAACUCAAAGGAAUUGACGGGGGCCCGCACAAGCGGUGGAGCAUGUGGUUUAAUUCGAAGCUACGCGAAGAACCUUACCAGGUCUUGACAUCUUGCGCCAACCUCAGAGAUGA
rnacentral:rRNA from 2 species